rnacentral:RNase_P_RNA from 1 species
CCAGCAAGCCGUUCUAUCGCUCGUUAGCAUUUGCUAGUGAGAGGAAAGUCCGGGCAACACAGAGCAUCUCGCUUCCUAACGGGAAGGCAUUGGGGAUUGAAGACCUGAAUGACGGAAAGUGCCACAGAAAAUAAACCGCCCCUGUAGUACACACAUUAUGCAGCAAUGCAGCAGAAUUGUGUUACUACAGGGGCAAGGGUGAAAACGUGGGGUAAGAGCUCACGAGCUUCCCGAGUGAUCGGGAUUUUGGUAAACCCCGGGAGUUGAAAGACCAAAUAGGCUAACAUU